GAGCCGACCGCCGAGGACGAGAGGGAGAGGCAGAAGGCGGCGGUGGCUGACUUCGUCGAGGGCAUCGCAAAGGAGCAGAAAACUCAGCAGAAGCAGAGCAGCGAUGGCGGUGGUGAUGAAGGCCUGGACGAGGACGAGAUUGAGAUGAUGAAGAAAUUUGGGAUUCCGACUGGAUUUGACUCGACGAAAGGGAAGCCCGUGCCUGGCGCCGAUGUGAGCGGCAUUAGGGCGGUCACUAAGCGGCAGCCGAGACAGUAUAUGAAUCGCCGCGGUGGAUUUAAUCGGCCUUUGCCUGCUGAGCGUAAUCGCUAGAUUACUGACAAGGAGGGUCAUCCAGCAUGAGAUGAACCAUGUGGAGAGACUUGGAUACUUGAAAGCCGUCGGCAGGAUGGACCCGAAUCAGUCAGACCGUGUAAGGUUUUCUCUAGUUCAUUGUAUUUUGCAUCCAAUGAUGGAUUCCCAUGAGAUUCAUGUGAUUGACUGAUUCUUAUGUCGGAGUUUUGAACAAAUUAGUCAUUUGGUUCACCUCCUCGGAGUUGUAUUAGUUGUUAAAUGCAACAUUAAUGGGACUAGCUACUUGUAAACAUGGGCAUCUCUCAAGAAAAACAAAGAUAAAAGGAAAAUGUGAAAAGUGAAAAGGAGGAUAACAAAGGU